rnacentral:misc_RNA from 1 species
CUUACACAAACGGAAAAGGUAAAGUGUACAAUUCCAAAUGAAGAUCUCCUCAAGUACCAAGGCAGAUGCCAAUAUAAACUUCAUAAACUCCAUUUCCAUCUCAAGACCAGUAAACAUGUUCACUUGGACUUUUUGAAGAAGCUUCAUAGCACCAUAAGAGGAUGAUUGGGGUCGUAGCAACUGUACAGCAGGUUCAACAAUAUCCCCAACAGGGUAAAAUUCAAUUGUAAGAUCUUGUAAUUUAGGACAGCUUGUAAUCAAGUAAACUGCACUUGAAACCACCUCGGUGUAUCUUAAAGACAUGGACGAAAUAGUGAGAGUUCUGAUAUUGUUCAGAGCAGUUGGGGGAUUCUCUGGUAAACCUCCCUUGAUCAAGUACUCUAAUGUUGUACCGCAUAUAUCCAGUUCCAGCAAUGAAGGCAUGUAAUGGAAGAACUUCGGGAAAUUAGAGCAAACAGGAGAUAUAUCAGUCAAAAGUCGUCGUCCAAGGAAACCCACAGUAACUUUUUCAAGCAUAGGAGCGUUUUUGAAGGAAAUGGAUUUCGUUUUCCCAAUAAACUCAAGGAAUUUGAGAUUAGCAGCAUCAAUUUCAAGGAUGUCAAAGUUUGUGAUGGAACGCAACCUCAACCAUUCAAGCAACGGGCUUUUAGAUAUGAGAUUUGUUAAUAUUGAUGAAUCAAAAGUGACAUGCAUAAGAUCGAGCUUAAUAAGCUUCUCAAACCCUUUGAAACCGAGUGGAGGUUGGAACAAGCAAUCUUGAAGUUCCAAACACCUUAGCUGCUGGAAUGUAAAAAGAUGAUGAGGUGAUUGAUAUUUGUUUCCAAUGCGUACAAC